UAAAAGAAAGAAAAAGCAGAAAUAAUUAUUCAUAUAUCUAUAAAUAUUUCCAUGGGAAACAAAGCUCAAUGGGUAUGGCCCAAUUAUGAUAAUUGCUAUAAGAAAAGAUACCCCAAUUAUGAUGAAGAGCUUUGCAUUAUACGAAUUACGAAGGGAGUGUCUAUUUCCUGUUAACAUCAAAUCCCUGUUUCUGGUGCGUGAUUCGAUUUCUCCCAUUCUAACCCCUUAGAGUUUGCUUUUCGUGCUUGAACAGGAGACUGUCACCAACUCAACCAAGACUAGGAAGAUGGUCAACUAUAAGACCUUUGAAUUUGCUUCUUUUGAGAACAAGGCUUGCGUGAGGGCUCAAGUUAAGUUGAAGACUGCCAUAAAAAUGUGAAACACAAUUUUAACGUAAGAAAACACUUUUCUGGUCUUACAUCACGUCAUAAGGAUCAAGAUUUUGGAAAUAAAGUUGAUACUUCAACCUUGCAAUUUCCAAUAAUAUAAGCAAAACACUGCCUUCCUGCCACUGAAUUGUAUUAUAAACUACAACAGGCAAAAAUAAGGUCAAGUUUUUUUACAGAAGCAAGAAAUUUUGACUUUGUAUUAGACCAAAAGCAGAUUGUUGAGUGGAGAAAUUGCCACCCAUACAAAUCUGCUUUGAGGUCAACAUAACUUCCCGAGUUGAUAUAUAAAUUCUAAUGCCACCCUCUACAAUGACCCAAAAGGAGAAAGGGGGGGAAAAAUCAAACAAGCAAGAAUUAACAAAUUCACCCGUUGAAUCAUAGAGUCCGGAGGAAGAGCAAAAGAAUAUGGCCACAAAUACCUUCCGAGCUUCUCUCUAGCUUUUGAUCUUCAGCUCUGACUCUCAGAUUUAUACCCCAAUUGAUUUUACAUGCUCAAAAGCAUCCACUUGUUUCAUCCUGGAACUGUAAUAUUGCGGAACUCACGUCUCUGUCCCCUCUUCAACUGUUGGAAGACUACCCUCUUUGACAAAGGCUGGAUUAAGAAACUUGGAAACAAAACCCCAUAAUUUGUAAACGUCCUCGAAGUUGGUGAGAAAUCCCAGAGAUGCAGUGACCACCUCAAUCCUCAUAAACCCACCUUUUCCAUUAUGUUGCCCAUUUUCCAUUGGCCUACAUAGAGUCGUAUCUUCAAGGCUCAAAGCACCAUGCUGCGGUUUUGUACUAUCCAAUAUCCGUAUGUGACUAAGAAAACCAAUGCCAAGAGAGAUACCUUCUCUUUCAGCAAGCUUCUGAACAACUUCUGGAUUUAUCAGCCCAUGGUUUCUAUCUCUAAUGUUGAAAGCUACAGCUGCGCCCCUUUCAUAUUUUAUUUUUGGGCCAUAGAUGUGAACAAGAAGCACUCUUCCUUCCCCAUCUGGGCUGGGAAACCUUAGUUGAAGUAAUGAGGUCACAAGCCAAUUGAUCAAAAAUCUCAGCCUGAUUGUGGUUUUAUUGAGACCCAACAUAUUCACAUGAUCCAAAUGCCGGCAAAUAAUCUCAGGUUCCCUCCUAUCCCACUCUUGUCCAUCUCCAUAUUCCCCAUCACUGGUGUACUCUUCAUCAUCCAGGCUCGUUACAGAUACUUCUCCUGGCUCCAGAGUAUGAGUCAUACGUUCUUUACGGUUGUCCUCCAUACUAAACGACACCCUUCUUCCCCUGCUCGGAUGUUCAUUCUCUUCCAACCCAAAAAAUCUACCACCAGCGUAUCUAUUCCCUUCCCUUCUUCCCAACAACCUGAAUUCACCUUCUGUUUCUCUUCUUAUAGCACUCUCUUUCAUCUCUGAGCCAAUUGCUGAGGUUGAGCCAUUUGCUAGGCUAUGAUGCGCAGCAGUCAAUGUUGAAUUAUUAAGCCGAGAUCCAUUUACAUCAUAAUUUGACAAAGAACCAGCUGAAAGUGCAUUGCUUGUUCCAGGUUCUUCCUCAAUCUCUUGAACAUGUGGAUGAUCAAAACCCUUUCUACCAUUUCGCGGAGUGCAGUUUGUUUCUGCAAAUUGUUCUUCUUCAGGGACCUCUUUAACACGGUCUAAUUCCUGUGAAACAGACAUAACUGCAGCAUCAAAUGACAGCAUAUGGUGGUCAUCGUGUGGCCCCCCCUUGUCAUCAUACAUUGGGCUGCCAUAUAUCUUUGAUGUUGGUUUUGGAGAGAGUCGCUUGUGGUUCUUCUUGCCAGAAAACCAGAAAGGUGGUAGAGGAGAGGACAUUUUCUGUUUGUUAAACUGACCUGCGGUAUCUGACCCCAAUGGACUUUGACCCAAAUCAAUCCAGAAUGAGUUGUCUGAUGAUUCAUCUUCACUAAAGACCGGGCUUUUCAUUACUUCACCAACUGAAAUACUUUCAGUUUCUUCAAAUAUAGUGCUCGUCCCAUCUCUAUCAGAACUGUUGUCCUGUUCCAUUUCCGUCUCAAAUACAUCCCUCACCUGAGAAGAAGUGAAUGCACCAGAAAAUGCAGGCAACUGUGAUCCUGGGCGAGUUUCUGUGGUUGUUUCAGCAUUCCCAGCAACUUCAUCAUCUUCAAUGCCAAACCAUCAACAGGAUCACUCAAAUAUAAUGGAUAUUCAAAUGUGAUUUUACCAUUC
rnacentral:misc_RNA from 1 species